UAGGGAAUCUUCCACAAUGGACGAAAGUCUGAUGGAGCAACGCCGCGUGAGUGAAGAAGGGUUUCGGCUCGUAAAACACUGUUGUAAGAGAAGAAUGACGUUGAGAGUAACUGUUCAAUGUGUGACGGUAUCUUACCAGAAAGGAACGGCUAAAUACGUGCUAG
rnacentral:rRNA from 1 species